rnacentral:rRNA from 1 species
GACGGAGGGUGCAAGCGUUGUUCGGAUUGACUGGGCGUAAAGGGCGUGUAGGCGGUUGGUCAAGUCUGAUGUGAAAGCCCGGAGCUCAGCCCCGGAAGGGCAUCGGAAACUAACCAGCUGGAGCGCGAUAGAGGAGGGCGGAAUUCCUGGUGUAGCGGUGAAAUGCGUAGAUAUCAGGAGGAACACCGGCGGCGAAGGCGGCCCUCUGGCUCGUUGCUGACGCUGAGACGCGAAAGCGUGGGGAGCAAACAGG